UACGAGGGGGGCAAGUGUUGUUCGGAAUUACUGGGCGUAAAGGGAGCGUAGGCGGCUUGUCGCGUCGGAUGUGAAAGCCCGGGGCUUAACUCCGGGUCUGCAUUCGAUACGGGCAGGCUAGAGUUCGGUAGGGGAGAGUCGGAAUUCCUGGUGUGAGCGGUGGAAAUGACGCAGAUAUCAGGAGGAACACCGGUGGCGAAGGCGGAUCUCUGGGCCGAUACUGACGCUGAGGAGCGAAAGCCAGGGGAGCGAACGGG
rnacentral:rRNA from 1 species